ACUUAAAUUGAAGAGUUUGAUCAUGGCUCAGAUUGAACGCUGGCGGCAGGCCUAACACAUGCAAGUCGAGCGGCAGCGGGAAA
rnacentral:rRNA from 1 species